rnacentral:lncRNA from 1 species
GUUAGCAUCAGAGGACAUAUUUACUCUGAACAUGAUAUGUUCAGCUUGGUUUUCUGGAUUCUGGAGGUUGAUGUCAAGAAUGUGUAGGAGAAGACCAAUGAACGGGAGGUCACAGGAUUGGAUAAUAAUAAGAAGAGUGAGGAAAUACACAUGAAUGGCAUCAUGGAUCUGAGAAGAAGAGCCUCUUAAAUCUGGAAGGCCUGGAGAUGGAAAGCAGACUGCAUUAUUUGAAGAGAUUGCAAGCUGCUGGACACACGGGGAAUGAAAAGUGAAAAUGAAGAGGUGGUGAGGCAUGGACAAAAGAUGAAGUAAGAUAGGAGAGUAGCUAAGAGUUUGAGUAUCGAAACAUUUUAUACCAUGACAAGGCAUUUG